rnacentral:rRNA from 1 species
GACGAACCGAGCGAACGUUAUUCGGAAUCACUGGGCUUAAAGGGCGCGUAGGCGGGCGAUCAAGUCAGGGGUGAAAGCCCCCAGCUCAACUGGGGAAGUGCCUCUGAUACUGGUCAUCUUGAGGGAGGUAGGGGCGUGCGGAACUUCCGGUGGAGCGGUGAAAUGCGUAGAUAUCGGAAGGAACACCGGGUGGCGAAAGCGGCGCGCUGGACCUCUUCUGACGCUGAGGCGCGAAAGCCAGGGGAGCGAACGGGG